GAUGAACGCUGGCGGCGUGCCUAAUACAUGCAAGUCGAGCGAACAGACGAGGAGCUUGCUCCUCUGACGUUAGCGGCGGACGGGUGAGUAACACGUGGAUAACCUACCUAUAAGACUGGGAUAACUUCGGGAAACCGGAGCUAAUACCGGAUAAUAUAUUGAACCGCAUGGUUCAAUAGUGAAAGACGGUUUUGCUGUCACUUAUAGAUGGAUCCGCGCCGCAUUAGCUAGUUGGUAAGGUAACGGCUUACCAAGGCAACGAUGCGUAGCCGACCGGAGAGGGUGGUAGCCCACCCUGGAACUGAGACACGGUCCAGACUCCUACGGGAGGCAGCAGUAGGGAAUCUUCCGCAAUGGGCGAAAGCCUGACGGAGCAACGCCGCGUGAGUGAUGAAGGUCUUCGGAUCGUAAAACUCUGUUAUUAGGGAAGAACAAAUGUGUAAGUAACUAUGCACGUCUUGACGGUACCUAAUCAGAAAGCCACGGCUAACUACGUG
rnacentral:rRNA from 1 species